rnacentral:rRNA from 1 species
UCAUGGCUCAGAUUGAACGCUGGCGGAAUGCUUACACAUGCAAGUCGAACGGCAGCACGGGGCAACCUGGUGGCGAGUGGCGAACGGGUGAGUAAUAUAUCGGAACGUGCCCAAUCGUGGGGGAUAACGUAGCGAAAGUUACGCUAAUACCGCAUACGAUCUACGGAAUGAAAAGCGGGGGGAUCGCAAGACCUCGCGCGAAUGGAGCGGCCGAUAUCAGAUUAGGUAGUUGGUGGGGUAAAGGCUCACCAAGCCAACGAUCUGUAGCUGGCUGAGAGGACGACCAGCCACACUGGAACUGAGACACGGUCCAGACUCCUACGGGAGGCAGCAGUGGGGAAUUUUGGACAAUGGGCGCAAGCCUGAUCCAGCCAUUCCGCGUGCAGGAUGAAGGCCUUCGGGUUGUAAACUGCUUUUGUACGGAACGAAACGGUCUGCCCUAAUACGGUGGGCUAAUGACGGUACCGUAAGAAUAAGCACCGGCUAACUACGUG